rnacentral:rRNA from 1 species
GACGUAGGGGGCCAGCGUUGUUCGGAAUCACUGGGCGUAAAGGGUGCGUAGGCGGGUCUUUAAGUCAGGGGUGAAAUCCUGGAGCUCAACUCCAGAACUGCCUUUGAUACUGAAGAUCUUGAGUUCGGGAGAGGUGAGUGGAACUGCGAGUGUAGAGGUGAAAUUCGUAGAUAUUCGCAAGAACACCAGUGGCGAAGGCGGCUCACUGGCCCGGUACUGACGCUGAGGUGCGAAAGCGUGGGGAGCAAACAGG